GAUGAACGCUGGCGGCGUGCCUAAUACAUGCAAGUCGAGCGAACAGACGAGGAGCUUGCUCCUCUGACGUUAGCGGCGGACGGGUGAGUAACACGUGGAUAACCUACCUAUAAGACUGGGAUAACUUCGGGAAACCGGAGCUAAUACCGGAUAAUAUAUUGAACCGCAUGGUUCAAUAGUGAAAGACGGUUUUGCUUUCACUUAUAGAUUGAUCCGCCCCGCAUUAGCUAGUUGGUAAGGUAACGGCUUACCAAGGCAACGAUGCGUAGCCGACCUGAGCGGGUGAUCGGCCACACGGGAACUGAGACACGGUCCAGACUCCUACGGGAGGCAGCAGUAGGGAAUCUUCCGCAAGGGGCGAAAGCCUGACGGAGCAACGCCGCGUGAGUGAUGAAGGUCUUCGGAUCGUAAAACUCUGUUAUUAGGGAAGAACAAAUGUGUAAGUAACUAUGCACGUCUUGACGGUACCUAAUCAGAAAGCCACGGCUAACUACGUG
rnacentral:rRNA from 1 species